rnacentral:rRNA from 2 species
UUAAGCGACUAAGCGUACACGGUGGAUGCCCUGGCAGUCAGAGGCGAUGAAGGACGUGCUAAUCUGCGAUAAGCGUCGGUGAGGUGAUAUGAACCGUUAUAACCGGCGAUUUCCGAAUGGGGAAACCCAGUGUGUUUCGACACACUAUCAUUAACUGAAUCCAUAGGUUAAUGAGGCGAACCGGGGGAACUGAAACAUCUAAGUACCCCGAGGAAAAGAAAUCAACCGAGAUUCCCCCAGUAGCGGCGAGCGAACGGGGAGGAGCCCAGAGCCUGAAUCAGUGUGUGUGUUAGUGGAAGCGUCUGGAAAGGCGUGCGAUACAGGGUGACAGCCCCGUACACAAAAAUGCACAUAUUGUGAGCUCGAUGAGUAGGGCGGGACACGUGGUAUCCUGUCUGAAUAUGGGGGGACCAUCCUCCAAGGCUAAAUACUCCUGACUGACCGAUAGUGAACCAGUACCGUGAGGGAAAGGCGAAAAGAACCCCGGCGAGGGGAGUGAAAAAGAACCUGAAACCGUGUACGUACAAGCAGUGGGAGCCUCUUAAUGGGGUGACUGCGUACCUUUUGUAUAAUGGGUCAGCGACUUAUAUUCUGUAGCAAGGUUAACCGAAUAGGGGAGCCGAAGGGAAACCGAGUCUUAACUGGGCGUUAAGUUGCAGGGUAUAGACCCGAAACCCGGUGAUCUAGCCAUGGGCAGGUUGAAGGUUGGGUAACACUAACUGGAGGACCGAACCGACUAAUGUUGAAAAAUUAGCGGAUGACUUGUGGCUGGGGGUGAAAGGCCAAUCAAACCGGGAGAUAGCUGGUUCUCCCCGAAAGCUAUUUAGGUAGCGCCUCGUGAAUUCAUCUCCGGGGGUAGAGCACUGUUUCGGCAAGGGGGUCAUCCCGACUUACCAACCCGAUGCAAACUGCGAAUACCGGAGAAUGUUAUCACGGGAGACACACGGCGGGUGCUAACGUCCGUCGUGAAGAGGGAAACAACCCAGACCGCCAGCUAAGGUCCCAAAGUCAUGGUUAAGUGGGAAACGAUGUGGGAAGGCCCAGACAGCCAGGAUGUUGGCUUAGAAGCAGCCAUCAUUUAAAGAAAGCGUAAUAGCUCACUGGUCGAGUCGGCCUGCGCGGAAGAUGUAACGGGGCUAAACCAUGCACCGAAGCUGCGGCAGCGACACUAUGUGUUGUUGGGUAGGGGAGCGUUCUGUAAGCCUGUGAAGGUGGCCUGUGAGGGUUGCUGGAGGUAUCAGAAGUGCGAAUGCUGACAUAAGUAACGAUAAAGCGGGUGAAAAGCCCGCUCGCCGGAAGACCAAGGGUUCCUGUCCAACGUUAAUCGGGGCAGGGUGAGUCGACCCCUAAGGCGAGGCCGAAAGGCGUAGUCGAUGGGAAACAGGUUAAUAUUCCUGUACUUGGUGUUACUGCGAAGGGGGGACGGAGAAGGCUAUGUUGGCCGGGCGACGGUUGUCCCGGUUUAAGCGUGUAGGCUGGUUUUCCAGGCAAAUCCGGAAAACCAAGGCUGAGGCGUGAUGACGAGGCACUACGGUGCUGAAGCGACAAAUGCCCUGCUUCCAGGAAAAGCCUCUAAGCAUCAGGUAACAUCAAAUCGUACCCAAAACCGACACAGGUGGUCAGGUAGAGAAUACCAAGGCGCUUGAGAGAACUCGGGUGAAGGAACUAGGCAAAAUGGUGCCGUAACUUCGGGAGAAGGCACGCUGAUAUGUAGGUGAAGCGACUCGCUCGUGGAGCUGAAAUCAGUCGAAGAUACCAGCUGGCUGCAACUGUUUAUUAAAAACACAGCACUGUGCAAACACGAAAGUGGACGUAUACGGUGUGACGCCUGCCCGGUGCCGGAAGGUUAAUUGAUGGGGUUAGCGGUAACGCGAAGCUCUUGAUCGAAGCCCCGGUAAACGGCGGCCGUAACUAUAACGGUCCUAAGGUAGCGAAAUUCCUUGUCGGGUAAGUUCCGACCUGCACGAAUGGCGUAAUGAUGGCCAGGCUGUCUCCACCCGAGACUCAGUGAAAUUGAACUCGCUGUGAAGAUGCAGUGUACCCGCAGCAAGACGGAAAGACCCCGUGAACCUUUACUAUAGCUUGACACUGAACAUUGAGCCUUGAUGUGUAGGAUAGGUGGGAGGCUUUGAAGUGUGGACGCCAGUCUGCAUGGAGCCGACCUUGAAAUACCACCCUUUAAUGUUUGAUGUUCUAACGUUGGCCCGUAAUCCGGGUUGCGGACAGUGUCUGGUGGGUAGUUUGACUGGGGCGGUCUCCUCCUAAAGAGUAACGGAGGAGCACGAAGGUUGGCUAAUCCUGGUCGGACAUCAGGAGGUUAGUGCAAUGGCAUAAGCCAGCUUGACUGCGAGCGUGACGGCGCGAGCAGGUGCGAAAGCAGGUCAUAGUGAUCCGGUGGUUCUGAAUGGAAGGGCCAUCGCUCAACGGAUAAAAGGUACUCCGGGGAUAACAGGCUGAUACCGCCCAAGAGUUCAUAUCGACGGCGGUGUUUGGCACCUCGAUGUCGGCUCAUCACAUCCUGGGGCUGAAGUAGGUCCCAAGGGUAUGGCUGUUCGCCAUUUAAAGUGGUACGCGAGCUGGGUUUAGAACGUCGUGAGACAGUUCGGUCCCUAUCUGCCGUGGGCGCUGGAGAACUGAGGGGGGCUGCUCCUAGUACGAGAGGACCGGAGUGGACGCAUCACUGGUGUUCGGGUUGUCAUGCCAAUGGCACUGCCCGGUAGCUAAAUGCGGAAGAGAUAAGUGCUGAAAGCAUCUAAGCACGAAACUUGCCCCGAGAUGAGUUCUCCCUGACUCCUUGAGGGUCCUGAAGGAACGUUGAAGACGACGACGUUGAUAGGCCGGGUGUGUAAGCGCAGCGAUGCGUUGAGCUAACCGGUACUAAUGAACCGUGAGGCUUAACCUU